rnacentral:rRNA from 1 species
GUCGAACGCUGGCGGCGUGCUUAACACAUGCAAGUCGAACGAAGUGGCGAACGGGUGAGUAACGCGUAAUCAACCUCCUCUUCAGAGGGGGACAACAGUGGGAAACGUCUGCUAAUACCGAUUACUGAAGGAGGGGAUUGCGUCUGAUUAGCUAGUUGGCUGGGUAACGGCCCACAAAGGCGAUGAUCAGUAGCCGGGCUGAGAGGAUGAACGGCCAAAUUGGGACGGAGACACGGCCCAGACUCCUACGGGAGGCAGCAGUGGGGAAUCUUCCGCAAUGGACGAAAGUCUGACGGAGCAACGCCGCGGGAGUGAUGACGGCCUUCGGGUUGUAAAGCUCUGUUAAUCGGGACGCGGUACCGGAAUAGAAAGCCACGGCUAACUACGUGCCAGCAGCCGCGGUAAUAC